rnacentral:rRNA from 1 species
UCCAGACUCCUACGGGAGGCAGCAGUGAGGAAUAUUGGUCAAUGGACGCAAGUCUGAACCAGCCAAGUAGCGUGCAGGAUGACGGCCCUCCGGGUUGUAAACUGCUUUUAGUUGGGAAUAAAAGGGGGCUCGUGAGCCCCGUAUUGUAUGUACCAUCAGAAAAAGGACCGGCUAGUUCCGUGCCAGCAGCCGCGGUAAUACGGAAGGUCCGGGCGUUAUCCGGAUUUAUUGGGUUUAAAGGGUGCGUAGGCGGGUUAUCAAGUCAGCGGUAAAAUCGUGGAGCUCAACUCCAUCCAGCCGUUGAAACUGAUGAUCUUGAGUGGGCGAGAAGUAUGCGGAAUGCGUGGUGUAGCGGUGAAAUGCAUAGAUAUCACGCAGAACUCCGAUUGCGAAGGCAGCAUACCGGCGCCCGACUGACGCUGAAGCACGAAAGCGUGGGUAUCGAACAGGAUUAGAUACCCUCGUAA